CAGUCGCCGCGGGAAUACGUAGGUCCCGAGCGUUGUCCGGAUUUAUUGGGCGUAAAGCGAGCGCAGGCGGUUAGAUAAGUCUGAAGUUAAAGGCUGUGGCUUAACCAUAGUACGCUUUGGAAACUGUUUAACUUGAGUGCAAGAGGGGAGAGUGGAAUUCCAUGUGUAGCGGUGAAAUGCGUAGAUAUAUGGAGGAACACCGGUGGCGAAAGCGGCUCUCUGGCUUGUAACUGACGCUGAGGCUCGAAAGCGUGGGGAGCAAACAGGAUUAGAUACCCGCGUAGUCCCUGUCUCUUAUACC
rnacentral:rRNA from 1 species